rnacentral:SRP_RNA from 1 species
CCUAGUGGCACGUGCCUGUAGUCCCAGCUACUCGGGAGGCUGAGGCUGGAGGAUCUCUUGAGUCCAGGAGUUCUGGGCUGCAGUGUGCUAUGCCAGUCGGAUGUCCGCACUAACUUCGGCAUCAAUAUGGUGACCUCCCGGGAGCAGUGGACCACCAGGUUGCCUAAGGAGGGGUGAGCCGGCCCAGGUCAGAAAUGGAACAGGUCAAAACUCCCGUGCUGAUCUAUCAGCCAUGAUCACACCACCACUACAACUCCAGCCUGGGCAACAGAGCAAGACCCCAAAUCUU